rnacentral:lncRNA from 1 species
GAAAAUGUCCUUAUGAGCCAGAAAACAAUAUGUUAUGUUCUGAUUUGGAAAUGACGCGUAAUCUUUCGAAUUACGAUAUUUGAUAACUAUUGCUCACCGGGGAAGUGCGAAAGCUGAUACGAGAGCCUUGCGAGGUUUCGAUCGACAUUCGGGGUGAAGAAUGUUUGUCGAGGCUUCACGGCGGUUGUCACUGGCCCGAUGGGGAGUUCCGGGUCGUGACAUUAUCACAGUCAAAAUCAUGCUUAAGAAAUCCCUUUCAAUCAAUUGCACCAAUCACGAGAGAAAUACCAAGCAAA